AUGCAUUGUAAAAGACAGCAUUAGUUUCAAAAUCACAAUAUUCAGUUCACAUUCAAACAUUGCUAGGUCAGAAACUACUGCAAAUUUUGCUGAGCAGAAACACCAAAUUCUAUUCCCCACCACCAUUAAAGAUUCUGUAUGGUCAACAUACAUUCAUACUUGCACAAGAACUCUCCAAUAAAAAUGUUUAACCUCAAAAGAAGAGUCAUGCAUGCAUGUUACAAAAGACAUUAUUAGCUUAUAAUAAAAUGAAUGCUUCUACUAGGAGUGAAGAUGAUUUCAAGACGUCACUGAUGCUAUAAUGUGUAAUCACUAAUCAUACGCUUGAAAUACAAAAUAUCCAAUGAUGACAAGGGAGUGAGGGACAAGGAUGCACGCGGCAAACGCCCAGGCUCUAAUAC